AAAAUCCAUUUGCUUAGACCAAGGGAAGCAAGACUGGAAGGGGGAGGUCACUUUGGAGUCUAAUUGUAGUAAUCCAGGCCAAGGACAGUGGAAACUUGGACUAGGGAUGAUAGCAGUUGAGAUUCAGAGAGAUUAGAGGAUCCUAGAUAGAUUCUGAAGGUAAAGCCAGUAGGAUUUCCCAACAGAGCAGAUGGGAUCUGUGGAAGAAAUGGAAGGAGUCCAGAAUGACUCCAAGGUAAACAUAAGCAACCGGAGAGUGGAAAUGCCAUUAACUGAAACGAGAAGACUGUAGAGGAGCAGGUUUCUAGCAGAAGCUCGGGAGUUCAAUUUUGGACGUGUCGGAUUCAGAGAUUUAAUCCAUGAAAAUUCUGAAAAGCAUGUUUGUUUUUUAAACUUUGAGGAGAAUGAGAAGGGGCGCCUGGGUGGCUCAGUCAGUUAAGUGUCCGACUUCUGGUCACGAUCUCGCUGUUCAUGGGUUCGAGCCCUGCGUUGGGCUCUGUGCUGACAGCUCGGAGCCUGGAACCUGUUUCAGAUUCUGUGUCUCCCCCUCUCUCUGCCCCUCCCCCACUUAUGCUCUCUGUCUCAAAAAUAAAUAAACAUUUUAAAAAAUUAAA